GGGCGCUUGGCACAGGGGUAGCGCGCACGCUUCGCACUGAGGAAUGCGUGAGGUCGUGGGUUCAAAUCCCACAGUGUCCA
rnacentral:tRNA from 1 species